rnacentral:lncRNA from 1 species
CGAGGGCCUCCCUACACUGACCACUCCCCUACUGCCCUUGCCCCUUUCGGGUAAGGUAGUCCUCCACUAGCUUUCCUAAUUAAUCAGCCAAGGGCGUCCCAUUAUACCCUUGUGGUAGCACUGUUUUCCCGGGUGGUCGCUCCAUGUUCCAAUUAACAUAAUGAUCUUAUCAUGAACGAUAAAUAACAACGGAUAACAAAAGUAUAAUCAUGAGUAAUGUAUCUUCAUACCCAAAACCUCAUAAAGCACUAGCAAGUACUACCCAAAAAGUUCAGUGGUAACAAGGUAUAAAGAUAAUCAAACUAGGGUAACCUAUUGGGUCCCAUCAAAAUUAACCUAUGCAGAUCAUUAUGAUUAAUCAGAACAUGGCUGGGUAAAAAGAAGUGAUCAAGGGCACAACUUGCCUGGGACUUGAGAUUCCAGGUACCAACUUGCUUUUCAGAUGACACGUGUCCUUGCUCUAGUCGUAGCAAUACAAACAAACAUUGUAUAGGCAAAAUUAACAUUACACCAAAAUAAAAUACACAGUAAUAAUCUAGACAUUAAAAUAAGAUCACAGGAACUGGAAUCAUUAAAUUUGGGGUUAUAGAUUUUAAGUUAUGGAUUUUCUAAUGUUUUAUGUGCUUAAUACAAGGUUAAGUGAAAGAAUAAUUUUAAUGUGUUUGUCAUGUCAGAACAGAGGCACUAAUGGGUAGACAAUAUUAUUACAAAAAUUUAGGAACUGGAAUGGACCAAUUUGGAGUUCAUAUGAAUUUUCUACAAAUUAAACAAGUUUCUGCAAUUAAUUUAAUACUAAAAAUCUAUUUCUAAUUUAAUUUCCCUAGUUUUCCUGCUCUCUAGACUGGGCCUCAAAUACCAGAAAGAGCAGGGGCUCUGGCGCAAAACUUCUUAAGACACAGAAACCCGAGGAGAGGACCGCGGGUUGGUUUCCUGAAAACCGAGGGGCCUAGAUGCAAAACGCGCGCAGCGAAGGGGUAUCAGUUGUUAUGAGCCGUUGGAUUUAAAGGAUACGGUCCGGAUUAGAUUUUUAUAACACUGAACCGGUACGCAAUCGUACCCGUUGGAUCUUCAUCCAACGAUUCAGAUUUUCAAGUCGCGCGUACAGCUCAACACCGCUCAUCCGCCGAUCUACGGCCCAGAUCAGAUCAGGCGAAGGGGUCUGCGCACUCUAAUCUCAGCCAUCCAUUAAGAGAUUGACGAUCCGCGCAGCUUCUUCUUCCCCCGACGGAUGAAUACGGCCGCACCCACACCGCAUGGCGGCGGUCUCGCCGGGGACUCCCAUAUCGCGCACCCGAACCCAAAAAAACGGCCACGGUCGGCCCAAAACGUAUCAGGGAAAGAGGCGAAUUCGUUGGAGGUUCUUACCAAGCGCUCGGUGUGGCCGAGAACUCCGACCACGACAAGGUGCUUCCCGGCGGCGCCGUGCGAUCUCCAAUGAGAAAUUGGGCGGCGCAUGAUCUAGUUCCAAGGGUGGGAAGGUCGCGUGCACCAUGGGAAUGCCACGGCGAAUCCCCAAGCCAACAAGAGGCUUAUGCUGGUCGAGGGCCCGGAGUUUGUCGAUGGCGGAUGUGGCUGGGUUUACGGCGGUGCUCUUAGAGAUGGAUGCCCCAACACCGAUCGCGGGGCGCCGAUGGGAUGAGCAAGAGGGUCGUGGGGCUUCCGUUUUAUAGAGGGUCGGGUGGACGCCGAGACGGAUCGGGGUCCCGUGAUCCCCGGCGGUGGUUCACAACAACCCCCAAGCUAUCCUGGUUUCGGAAUCGAAGAAGACGACCGCCGCGAUGGGCCCACACGGCAGCCACCCAGUUCGCGUCCGUGACUAGUGCAGGCACCGUCAGUGGCCCCCACGAUAUCAGCGGCAUCACGAGCUGAGUUCGCGUGGUUCAGUGCAACGGCCCAAGAUCUGCGGAUCGCGUGGAGCAGACAUGCACUUGUUACGGCAAAGUUGAAGAAGAUCCUGACAGACAGGCCCCACAUGUCGGUGAGACCCAAGCGCACCAGAUGCUAGCCAAGCUGCUGCCCACCAGGGCCCAUGCGCCAGUGAUAGAGGCUAGAGAGGGUGGGGAGAAGUGGGUUGCGCGGGAGAUAAAAGUGAAUAUGGGCCGACGCGGAAAUGGGACAGCGGGAGGUUUCAGCCUAAGUGCUUUUGUUUUUUCUAGCUUUAUUUCCUGUUUUGUUUCCAAAUAAAAAUUCAAACAAAAUUCGAAUUUUGGUUUUAAUCUCCAGGUUUAAAACAUCAAAACAAAUUCUAAUACUUCUACUAUUUGCACUGAAAUUAUUUAUUUAUUUAUUAUUAUUUAUUCUCCUUCCACUUUCAAAUUUUUGAAGUAAUAAAUGACUAUUACAAUUUCUUUUCUCAAUUUCUAUUUUAUGUUUUCAUUUGAGGUCAAAUUCAAGUUAUGCCUUCAAUAACAUGCCUGACACAAAUUGAUGAGCAAGGAUGCAAUUUUUCCAUUGUUUAUUUAAUGGUUGUUUAACUAAUGUAGUAUUAUUAAUUGAUUAUAAAUGGGAAGGGUCCUAAUAUAUUCUCAAAGGCUUCAAAAAAAAUCUAGAAACAUUAUCUUAAAUAGAUUUAUUUCUUUAUUAUUAUUUUUACCAAAAUUUUGGGCUUUACAAAUCCUACCCCCCUUAAAAAUAAUCUCGUCCUCGAGAUUAGUAGAAAAGGGAUGCAACCAGUUUGGUUUAGAAAUCAAAAGUUUUGUUUCAAGUUUUUUUUAUACUCGCUAGUAGAUGAUUUGGAAAAUAUGGAUAUAUAUAUGUCUAGCCAUCUAUUAUGUCAGAUGAGGUACGAUUAUGGCAAGUAUAGGUUGUGGCAAGGAAGAGUAUAAUAAGGAAAGACUUCAUCCUAAACUAUGGAUCUUGAUUCCGCUGGCGAUUCAACUUGAUCUUUGAAGUCUUGAGUUGAUGCUUAUCCUUCUUUGACAUGGUUGGCCUUCUUUGGCCUUUAUUUCUUGGAGUUGUCAUCCGAGUUAAGGACAUAUGGCUAGGACAUAUGUGAGUAGGAUGGAUUGUAUGGUGUAGGUAGGUUAGAAUCUCUUGCUAGGUUAAAAUUGUGGGGUUAUGCAACUAUUGGAUGGUUAAGGUAGUUGCAUAUGGCCAAGUCUUCUUUCAUUCUUAAUUUAGUGCAGGGUGAACUAAGUUAAGACCCGUUCUAUAGGAGUAGAGUCUAAUCUAUUUCAUCAGUAUUAUCUAACAUGUUUGAUAAGUCACUUUAGAUUAGAUCAGAUCUAGGUUAGAUUGGUGUGACUAGUUUGAGUAGAUAAGAUCUUAUUUAUUUUAGGCUAGAUCAUGGUUGUUACACUAGCGUGGGAUAAAUAUGCUUAUUGGGGUAAGAUGAAUCCAUAAGGAUAAGGUAGAAUCUUUUGAGGUCAGAUGGAUCUAUUAGGAUAAGAUAAAUCUUUUCAAGAUAAGAUGAGAAUCUAUAUUUUUUAGGAUAAGAUGGAUCUAUGAGUGUAGGAUAGACUUAUUCAAGAUAAGAUGGAUUUUGCUAGGCUAGAUUCUUUGAUGAGGGAUAACCUAGUUCAUUUAGAUAUCUUUAUAACUGUUUUUUCUAUAUGUAUAUGCAGAUGUGAUUGUGGACAUUACUCCACAACUAAUCACACUCAAUCAAAGAUCCAAAUCAAACAAGUAUCAUAAGAACAAACAUUCAAGCAUACAAAUACCUAUAAAAAUAGUUUUCUUUUUGUUCCUAAGAGUAGGCCUCCUAUUCCUAAAGUCACUUUAGGCACAGGAUUUCAAAGUGUGAAAUCCACAUUUGUCUUGAGAAUGAAAAGGUAAGAAUAAUCAGAGUAAGCGGAAAUAGAUGAGAAAAGAUUAAGAAAAGUUUAGAUAAGAAUCAGAGUAGCAAAGGUAAGUAAAUAUUGGUUGUUCAGUUCUAUCUAGGUUUCAUCCUACAGUCAACAUUCCUCUGAUACCACUUCUGUCACACCCGGAUUUUAGGGGUCCAAAGCCCGGGCGCGAACAUAAUCACCAGGUGUGCUGGGACCAAGUCUCACACAUAUGAUGAAUCAUGGCACAGGAUCGAAUGUCACAACUUUACUAUAUAAUAUGAGUUCUAUACAAAAUAAAUAAAUAAUUACAUUAUAAGGAGACAACGGUCCAGCAACCCAAAGUUGACUGGGAGACGACGGCCUAGAUCUCUCACGAACUCAUCGCAGCAUCCUCCAUGCGCCUCAUCCUGUGGUACCUGUUCUUGACCUGUGGGGGGGGUGAGACAGCAAGAGUGAGCUCACAUACGUUCAUCGCUCAACAAGUUGUGGGGAAUAAUGUGCAUGAACUCGCCAAAGAUGGGAGCUCACGUGAAGUGUAAGGCUUACCAAAGAAGAUGGUUAGAGCUGAGCAUUGCUUUUAAAGUUGGUCAAAAUUUUAUGAGCAGUUACUAAGUAUAAGUAAAUACCAACCUAAUUAAGCAGUAGAACAAAAGUAACAACAUCACCUGCGAUGCAAUGCAUAUGACAAAUUGGAUUUAGUUCCAUAAAUUAAUCAUGUGAGGGUCCGAGCUGCUCAUGACCGUGAGCACGGCAAGUAUACCAGUUUUACACUCUGCAGAGGUUGCGCAUCUUUACCCACAAGUCAUGUUACCCAUCUGCCAGGGGAUUGCGACUUCCCAUACACCUCUACCGAGGAGGUGAGGCAGGGUAACACUACGAGGCCUUUACAAAGUUCCACUAGCUUCAGAAAACCCGCUACAGUUUAUAGGAAGCUCCAAUGCAGGAAUCCCUUGCAGGACCGCCAUCGCAGCAAAAUCCUCCCGAGGGCCUCCCUACACUGACCACUCCCCUACUGCCCUUGCCCCUUUCGGGUAAGGUAGUCCUCCACUAGCUUUCCUAAUUAAUCAGCCAAGGGCAUCCCAUUAUACCCUUGUGGUAGCACUGUUUUCCCGGGUGGUCGCUCCAUGUUCCAAUUAACAUAAUGAUCUUAUCAUGAACGAUAAAUAACAACGGAUAACAAAAGUAUAAUCAUGAG